CUCUGGGGAAAUUGAUCUUUAAAUUUU
rnacentral:piRNA from 1 species